UACGUAGGUGGCGAGCGUUGUUCGGAUUUAUUGGGCGUAAAGGGUCUGUAGGAGGUUUGUUAAAUACGGGGUGAAAUCCCGAAGCUCAACUUCGGAAUUGCCUUGUAGACUGACGGACUAGAGUAUCGGAGAGGUAAGCGGAAUACCAGGUGUAGCGGUGGAAUGCGUAGAUAUCUGGUAGAACACCAAAAGCGAAGGCAGCUUGCUGGACGAAAACUGACUCUGAAAGACGAAAGCAUGGGGAGCAAACAGGAUUAGAUACCCUGGUAGUCCAUGCCGUAAACGUUGUCAACUUGAUGUGGGGGGAUUUAGUCCUCUCCGUAUCGAAGCUAACGCGAUAAGUUGACCGCCUGGGGACUACGGCCGCAAGGCUAAA
rnacentral:rRNA from 1 species